UCAUAUGCUUGUCUCUAGGACUAAGCCAUGCACGUAUAAGUGUAAGCGAUUUACAGUGAAACUGCGAAUGGCUCAUUAAAUCAGUAAUAGUCUCUUUGAUGGAAGCCGCUACAUGGAUAACCGUAGAAAAUCUAGAGCUAAUACACGCCAAGGAGUCAUGGCCUAGCAUUUUUGCUGGGGCGUGCGGUAUUUAUUAGAGGCCAAGACGAUGGCGCACUUGUGUGUCUUCUUUGGUGAGUCAUGAUAACUGUACGAAUCGAGGGCUUGUUCGCAAGCGUCGAUGGUUCAUUCGAAUUUCUGCCCUAUCAACUUUCGAUGGUAAGAUAGAGGCUUACCAUGGUGGUUACGGGUGACGGCGAAUGGGGGUUCUAUUCCGGAGAGGGGGCCUGAGAAACGGCCACCACUUCCAAGGAAGGCAGCAGGCGCGCAAAUUACCCAAUGGCGACACGCCGAGGUAGUGACGAACAAUAACGAUGGGACCCCCUUUGGGGGCCCCAAUUGGAAUGAGUACAAAGUACAAGCCUUAACGAGGAACAAUUGGAGGGCAAGUCUGGUGCCAGCAGCCGCGGUAAUUCCAGCUCCAAUAGCGUAUAUUAAAGCUGUUGCGGUUAAAAAGCUCGUAGUUGGAUUUGAGUCUAGUUGCGGCCGGGCUCAGGGCUUUGACUCUGGGGCGGGCGUGUAGACUGUAUGCGCGCGGGGAGGGGCAGGGAAUUUUCUCUGCUUUCUCGUGUGCUUUACUUUGAACAAAUUAGAGUGUUUAAAGCAGGCAUUUUUUGCCUUGAAUACAUUAGCAUGGAAUAACGAUUUUGACUGGAGCAGGCAUGAUGUUGUCUUGAUGACUGCGCAGUAAUGAUGGAUAGGGACGGUCGGGGACAUUCGUAUUGCUCCGUCAGAGGUGAAAUUCUUAGAUUGGAGGAAGACGAGCUGAUGCGAAAGCCUUUGUCAAGGACGUUUUCAUUGAUCAAGAACGAAAGUUAGGGGAUCGAAGACGAUCAGAUACCGUCGUAGUCUUAACCAUAAACGAUGCCGACCAGGGAUUGGGGAAGGCAGUAGACUUUCUCACGACUUCCCCAGCACCUUAUGAGAAAUCUGAGUGUUUGGGUUCCGGGGGGAGUAUGGUCGCAAGGCUGAAACUUAAAGGAAUUGACGGAAGGGCACCACCAGGAGUGGAGCCUGCGGCUUAAUUUGACUCAACACGGGGAAACUUACCAGGCCCAGACAUAGCGAGGAUUGACAGAUUGAGAGCUCUUUCUUGAUUCUAUGGAUGGUGGUGCAUGGCCGUUCUUAGUUCGUGGAGUGAUUUGUCUGCUUAAUUGCGAUAACGAACGAGACCUUGGGGGGUUGCUGCGCGAGGGCGCUACUUGUUAGCGGCCCGUGCUCCUACUCCUACUGCUGCGUGUUGUAACCAGAGGAAGUUUGAGGCUAUAACAGGUCUGUGAUGCCCUUAGAUGUCCUGGGCCGCACGCGCGCUACACUGGAGCAGGCAGCGAGUGGGGGCUGCCGCCGCAAGGCGGGAGCUACCUGUGCCGGAAGGCACGGGUAAUCUUGCAAACUGGUCCGUGAUGGGGAUAGAUGUUUGUAAUUUUGGAUCUUGAACGAGGAAUUCCUAGUAAACGCGCGUCAACAACGCGCAUUGACUACGUCCCUGCCCUUUGUACACACCGCCCGUCGCUCCUACCGAUUGAAUGUCAAGGUGAGGGUUCUGGACUCUGCGCUCCUCUUGGGCAACUGGGGGGGGAAGCGGGGGAAGUUGACCAAAUCUUGGCAUUUAGAGGAAGGAGAAGUCGUAACAAGGUUUCCGUAGGUGAACCUGCAGAAGGAUCAA
rnacentral:rRNA from 1 species